GACAGAGGCCUCAAGCGUUAGGCGGAAUCACUGGGCUUAAAGGGCGCGUAGGCGGGCGGCCGCGUCCGGGGUGAAAUCCCACGGCUCAACCGUGGAACGGCCUCGGAUACGGGCGGCCUGGAGGCGGGUAGGGGCAGGCGGAACUGUGGGUGGAGCGGUGAAAUGCGUUGAGAUCCACAGGAACUCCGGUGGCGAAGGCGGCCUGCUGGACCCGAACUGACGCUGAGGCGCGAAAGCCAGGGGAGCGAACGGG
rnacentral:rRNA from 1 species